GACGAACCACACAAACGUUAUUCGGAAUUACUGGGCUUAAAGGGUGCGUAGGCGGCGCGGAAAGUUGGGUGUGAAAUCCCUCGGCUCAACCGAGGAACUGCGCCCAAAACUACCGUGCUCGAGGGAGAUAGAGGUGAGCGGAACUUAGGGUGGAGCGGUGAAAUGCGUUGAUAUCCUAAGGAACACCCGUGGCGAAGGCGGCUCACUGGCUCGGUACUGACGCUGAGGUGCGAAAGCGUGGGGAGCAAACAGG
rnacentral:rRNA from 1 species